GACGAACGCUGGCGGCGUGCUUAACACAUGCAAGUCGAACGGAAAGGCCCUGCUUUUGUGGGGUGCUCGAGUGGCGAACGGGUGAGUAACACGUGAGUAACCUGCCCUUGACUUUGGGAUAACUUCAGGAAACUGGGGCUAAUAACGGAUAGGAGCUCCUGCUGCAUGGUGGGGGUUGGAAAGUUUCGGCGGUUGGGGAUGGACUCGCGGCUUAUCAGCUUGUUGGUGGGGUAGUGGCUUACCAAGUCUUUGACGGGUAGCCGGCCUGAGAGGGUGACCGGCCACAUUGGGACUGAGAUACGGCCCAGACUCCUACGGGAGGCAGCAGUGGGGAAUAUUGCACAAUGGGCGGAAGCCUGAUGCAGCAACGCCGCGUGCGGGAUGACGGCCUUCGGGUUGUAAACCGCUUUCGCCUGUGACGAAGCGUGAGUGACGGUAAUGGGUAAAGAAGCACCGGCUAACUACGUG
rnacentral:rRNA from 1 species